UUAAUACUCCCUCCGUCCGAAAAUACUUGUCAUCAAAAUGAACAAAAAGGGAUGUAUCUAGACGUAUUUUAGUUUUAGAUACAUCCCUUUUUAUCCAUUUUGAUGACAAGUAUUUUCGGACGAAGGGAGUACAUG
rnacentral:pre_miRNA from 1 species